UACGGGGGGGGCAAGCGUUGUUCGGAAUUACUGGGCGUAAAGGGCUCGUAGGUGGCCAACUAAGUCAGACGUGAAAUCCCUCGGCUUAACCGGGGAACUGCGUCUGAUACUGGAUGGCUUGAGUUCGGGAGAGGGAUGCGGAAUUCCCGGUGUAGUGGUGAAAUGCGUAGAUAUCUGGAGGAACACCGGUGGCGAAGGCGGCAUCCUGGACCAACACUGACACUGAGGAGCGAAAGCCAGGGGAGCAAACGGG
rnacentral:rRNA from 1 species